rnacentral:lncRNA from 1 species
GUAAUGUAAUGUGUUACAGAGUGGGAGGCUUCUGGGCCGCUUUAUCACAUUGUCAGUUCUACGAUCAUUUAUCACCUUAUAGCACCAUCCACCACUACCACACUGUCUUCGCCAUACGAACUGUAAGUCCAAGGCGGCGGAUCCAGCCUUCAGGGACCCCUCCUCAUUCAUUCACCCGAACACCCGAAGAGACGGAGGGUUCGGCAAUCGCCACCAAUCCAGCGUGCGAAUCUGGUCCAUCAACUGUGACCUCAACUCCACAUCUCAGCAGCUAGCCAUAAUCUCGCGCUCCCGACUAAUUCGGGGGUCUCCCCAGGAAUCGAACCCAGGACCUUAAACCGCUAAUUGCAGUAGUGUCAAC